UACGUAGGGUGCAAGCGUUGUCCGGAAUUAUUGGGCGUAAAGGGCUCGUAGGCGGUUUAUCGCGUCGGGAGUGAAAUCCACUGGCUUAACUGGUGGCUUGCUUUCGAUACGGGCAGACUGGAGGUAUGCAGGGGGAGAACGGAAUUCCUGGUGUAGCGGUGAAAUGCGCAGAUAUCAGGAGGAACACCGGUGGCGAAGGCGGUUCUCUGGGCAUGUCCUGACGCUGAGGAGCGAAAGUGUGGGGGAGCGAACAGG
rnacentral:rRNA from 1 species